GAUGAACGCUGGCGGCGUGCCUAAUACAUGCAAGUCGUACGGAAAGGCCCUUCGGGGUACUCGAGUGGCGGACGGCUGAGUAACGCGUGGGAACGUGCCCCAAAGUGAGGGAUAACGCACCGAAAGGUGUGCUAAUACCGCAUAUGGUCUUCGGAUUAAAGCUUCGGCGCUUUGCGAGCGGCCCGCGUACGAUUAGAUAGUUGGUGAGGUAAUGGCUCACCAAGUCGACGAUCGUUAGCUGGUCUGAGAGGAUGAUCAGCCAGACUGGGACUGAGACACGGCCCAGACUCCUACGGGAGGCAGCAGUAAGGAAUCUUCCACAAUGGGGGCAACCCUGAUGGAGCAACGCCGCGUGCAGGAUGAAGGUUUUCGGAUCGUAAACUGCUUUUAUAAGUGAAGAAUAUGACGGUAACUUAUGAAUAAGGAUCGACUAACUACGUGCCAGCCGCCGCCGUAACAC
rnacentral:rRNA from 1 species